CCUACGGGAGGCAGCAGUCGAGAAUCAUUCACAAUGGGGGCAACCCUGAUGGUGCGACGCCGCGUGGGGGAAUGAAGGUCUUCGGAUUGUAAACCCCUGUCAUGUGGGAGCAAAUAAAAAAGAUAGUCCCACAAGAGGAAGAGACGGCUAACUCUGUGCCAGCAGCCGCGGUAAUACAGAGGUCUCAAGCGUUGUUCGGAAUUACUGGGCGGAAAGCGUGCGUAGGCUGUUUCGUAAGUCGUGUGUGAAAGGCGCGGGCUCAACCCGCGGACGGCACAUGAUACUGCGAGACUAGAGUAAUGGAGGGGUAAUCGGAAUUCUCGGUGUAGCAGUGAAAUGCGUAGAUAUCGAGAAGAACACUCGUGGCGAAGGCGGGUUCCUGGACAUUAACUGACGCUGAGGCACGAAGGCCAGGGGAGCGAAAGGGAUUAGAUACCCUUGUAGUC
rnacentral:rRNA from 1 species